UUUGUGAAGUACAGGUCUUCUGCCCUGAUAAGCCUCACCUCCCACAGGACCACACACGCCAUCAACACGGUCCUGGUCCAUGCACACUUCCCAACCCCCUGGAGCGUACCCUGACGCCACACUGCAGAGGCCCCCACCUCUGCACCAAUGCCCCCCACAGUUCACCUGGUCCUCACACAGACCCUACCCACAGAGUCGGAUACACUUGCCUGCCUGUAGAGGCUCCAGGCACCCAGUCAAUGCAGGCUGAAAAGUAGCCUGAGGGCUUGCUGCUGGGUGGACCAGUCCCUAGGGCGGGCUGCCUGCCCUGGCUGAACUGGAUUAAAUCUGUGCUCUAGUGGGUGUGGCAGACCCCUGGGCUAACAGACCAAGGGAUGAACUUCAAUGACGCCCACCGGGGUCUGUGUCAGCACGCCUGGACAAGUUCAGAACAAUGGCCCCCACCAAUGUCUCAGUCUCCAGAGAGGUCCCUCCUGUCACCAAGAUGCCCCCAGAGCCCACUAGGCAGGCCAAAGAAUUGCCUUGGAGGGCUGCAUAAACCACCAAGCACUCUAGGCCGGAUGGAACACGCUAGCACAAAUGCAAAAGGUCACCUUGGACUGGGCCGAGCUGGUGAAUGCCAAUGAGCUGGAGCUCCCUGAAACCUCGGCUUAUGCAUGUCAGGCAGCUAACAUCACCAUUGGGCGCAGGCCUCCACCUCUGCAGCCCACGCUGACCCACGUAGAAAGGGUUUGCCUCACUGAGGGACCCCUUCAGAAUUGUUCACAUGGGAACCUGUCCAUCCAGGGUUCUCAACCUGCUAAAAGCUCUGGCCAGGCCCUUUUGCAAAUUAGCUUUUUUUCUGCAUAUAACCAUCUACAGAUUAGGUUUUUCCCUCCCUGACAUGAGGAAAAACAAUAACAGGGAGGCUCACGAAACUGCAGAAUCAUGGAACACAGCUCUCAGUGCCCUUUCUACAGACACACCCUCUCAGCUCCACGCAGGAGUCCAAUUCUUCACUGCUCCCAGGGCUUUUUGCCCAGAAGUGAACUUGAAAGAAGUAGGAACAUAAAGAUCCACAUGUCAACAGGUCUACAGAACAUCCUCAGAAUGUCAUUAGAAUGGGAGGCCCAACACCCCCUAAAUGCUAACAUCUCCACCCCAAUCCCAUUGCAUUGGCCCAAGUCAGUAGAGAACUUGAACUUCUACUAAAAUGCACACCUUCCUUGGAAAGAUUUCCCUCCUGGUUAAGUAUCAGCAUCUCUCUGGGAGUCUGUAGUGUGUAGAGAGACUGCGUACAUUCAAAUCCAGGUUCCAGCACUUACUAAUUAGGUGAACUUGGUGUGUUCUUGAACUCCCCUCAGCCUCAGUGUCUCCAUCAGUAAAAUGGAACUUAUAACAAUAUCUACCUCAUAGGAUGCUGUGUGGAUUAAUCAAGUCAACUCAUAUAAAGUGCUUGGAAAGGUGCCUGACACAUAGUUAGUGCUCAAUAAAUGUACUUAUUUUAUUCUCUAGAAGCAGGGUUUGAUUAGGAAUGGGACCCUUCUGAGAAGAAGGGACAGAGACGAGGGUGGAACAGAACACAGAAAAGGAAAAGCUGGGGG
rnacentral:lncRNA from 1 species